GAUCAACUCUUGCCCGGGGAAGUCUUAUGAAACGAACGUAAUUAGUUACAUGAAAUGGUUUGAUUAGCUAAAAUCGAUUAAGUUAAAGUUAACACAAAUAAAAUAUUAAAACAAUUAAAAGGAGCGAGUUAGGCAGAGUAAAUAAAUAAAUAAAUGUAACCUGUAUAAGACCAAUAUCAUUAAUCAUUGUCCGAAAAUGAAAUUCUUGAUGCGGUAUAAACCUAUAAAUAUUCUGGACUUGCCAUGUGGGGGCAAAUUUAAGAUUAGCACUACCUGCUACGACUACAAAAAGCCAAGGAUUCAUGACCGUCCAGAGUACCUGAGGCAAAGACAAUGAGCGGCGGUCAAUACAAAUGUAGGUCUAAUAUAACUACCGCCACAGAAAUGUUCGGAAUCAUGCCGCCAUUGCAUUGAAACCUAAUUUAAUAUUUAACUGUUGCCAAUAAUAAUAGUUUAAUUAACCAAAAUAACUAUUCAGCAGCGAGAGACUUACCAUAAAAGAUGUGUAACACACACAAUACGCUUGAAAUAACGAUCGGUGUGAGUCCACGUGGAAGAACAGCCAACGAAGUUGUCGGAGAGGGACCAGGAAUUAUUUCCACUAGACAUAAAUAAAUAAUUAUAAAUAGUAAAUGUCA